GCCCGCUUGGCUUAGUGGUACAGCGUCUCACUCGUAAUCACAUUGCGAUCCUUGGCCGGUAAUGAGAAGAUGAGAAGAUCCUCGGUUCGAUUCCGAGAGUGGGCA